UUGAUUGGAGAUAAUCCACCUAUUCUUGUUGUAUACAGUUUGCUUUGGAAUCUUAUAGGCAGUGAAACUGGUUCACCCGAUGGGUGUGAGAAGGAAAAAUGUAGUGCAUGAUGAUGUACUGUGAUUGUGUAAAGCCCAACAGUCAAGAGGCAAGGUUGACAGACAAACACUGACAAUACCAAUGGGGCUUCUGUACAAGACAUGUAUGGAUCAAAUGGAAUGGAAUACAGGAUUGCGUACAGUUCAAUCAAGUGUGUUUGACAGGGGAUUGCUAUGGGUUACCUGCAAUUCAACACCUCAAUACUUGACAGCAUCUUACAUGAACUCCUCUUAUGUCUGGACAAUACUACCCUAACUGUAGACAUUUGCGCAAGUCAUGGCAACAAAACAGUGGUAUUGAAGACCAACUCCGCUAACAUGGAACAGGGUAAGGACUAAUUGUACAAGAGAUAGAAGUCAACAUCCCAGGUUCGAAUCAUUCAUCCUGAGUCGUCGUCUCUUCCAGUCCAGUGUGAGACCAACCCUACUGGUUUAAAUGGCGUUGCGGUGUAUGAUGAUCUAACUUAUGCCAUACCUUAUGUUGAGAACCAGCAGCCAACAGACCGAGCCCCGUCUUUGGACAACUUAGUCAGUGUGAGUGGAGAACUGCAGCAGCAGUGGAGCUCAGAAGACACAAAUCACCAGGAGGGGAACCUAAUGUCUCGGUCCCAUGGUCACUCGACAUCUGGUGGGAGACAUCUGAGACAUUGUCUUUUCCGCCGCACUACGACCACACAGAGAGUGCCCAUCAACUGGUGGAGACAGAAUGGUCCAUGGCUGGUGAUGGCCCUUGCUGGUGUGGUGCUCUUUCUGUUGUGCACAAUGCUUGCUUUCUCAAUAUAAAAAUAAUUUUGAAAUGUUCUUUUCUGUCAUGUUGUCCUUUUUGACACAAGGGGGUGAGGAAUAGAGGGGGGAGGAUUCCCUUGUGACAUUACAUGAAAACCAGAUCAAAUAAUUGUUUUGUAUAAUUGUAACAGAAUUGUAUGUACUGUACCUAAUGUGAAUAGGAGUUUCAAAUAAAUUAUAUAUCUGAUUAUUUAUGAAUCAUAGCUUUUUCCAUACA